rnacentral:lncRNA from 1 species
CCACAUGAUAUGGCCACGAAAUCCGGUGUCACUAGGAAUGUUCUGUGCAAGUGCAUCAUGCAGGCAAGUGUUCUGAGUGCUUCUUGAGAUCAAAUUUCGCAAAUCAAUUACUCCGUAGCUCAUUUUAUUCAUGGACGUUUCAAUUAAUUAAUUGACUUAACAUUGUUCGAAUUGCAGCUCAUCAUUCUGUCACCGCUUGUACGGCUUAAUAUCAAUCUCGUACUCAUGGACCUGCGGUUCGCGUUGAUGUUCUUCAUGUUGUAUACGGUUCCAUCUGUUCUAAUAUGCUAACCUCGUUUUGAAGAGUCGGAUAAAGAGGAGUAUGUCAUUGUACAUGCCCAUGGCGCGG